CGCAAGCUGUGGUUUACACAUCUGGUUGGAGGGAAACUCCCACACUCAAAGCCUUUUCAUCAGAAACAAUCCGCCUUCUUUGUUUGAGAUUGAUUUGAGAACCUCUUCUUAGAUUUAAAGCCAUAAACGCUAUCUACCUGUCACUCGCAGAAGAGAGAUGCCACCACCUGGAGGACACUUGAGGAACAACAGACUUCCUCUUGAAUCUAAAGCUGUACUGAGUCUUUCUGUGUGUUUAACAGGAAGAAAAUCAAACACUGUCACACACCUGGAGUCAAAGAA